rnacentral:rRNA from 1 species
AACGUGCCCAGUCGUGGGGGAUAACGUAGAGAAAUUUACGCUAAUACCGCAUACGAUCUAAGGAUGAAAGCGGGGGACCGUAAGGCCUCGCGCGAUUGGAGCGGCUGAUAUCAGAUUAGCUUGUUGGUGAGGUAAAAGCUCACCAAGGCGACGAUCUGUAGCUGGUUUGAGAGAACGACCAGCCACACUGGGACUGAGACACGGCCCAGACUCCUACGGGAGGCAGCAGUGGGGAAUUUUGGACAAUGGGCGAAAGCCUGAUCCAGCAAUGCCGCGUGCAG